UAAAUUUCUCCAUAAAAAAGAAACUAAUCUUACACCUAAAGUCAUAUAAUCUCAAACCUUUAAGAAAUCGACAUGUUGAAGUUAAGCAUUGCUUUUGUUCUGGGUAAGUUUUUCUUUAUACAUUCAAAAUCACACUUUUAUUUUGCCUGUAUUUAGUUACUUCAAUGUUAGGAACCAAGGGUAGUAAAUGCGAUGGCCGAAUUCCAUUCGUUUAUGUGCCUGUAUGUGGCAUUGCUAAGGACUGUGUCUACCAUGCUGUCAAUGAUUUUGCAGCACGAUUUCAAGAUUGCAGACGUAGGGAAAUAGGAAUACCCCCAUUCCUGUCCAUUGAAAAAAACAAAUGCCCAUCAGACAAGCCCCGUUGUCCUCAAGUAAAUUAAUAAUACACAUUUUAUAAUAAACAGUUUUUUUUGUACUGCUUGUAAAAAAUAUAUACAAAUUUUAGAGUAAA